GAGCAGGGUGUCGGGGCUGGGUCGGUGCCGCCUGUGGGAGGACGCCGGGUGUGGGGUCCCCGCGGCGGCGGGGGAGCUGCAGAGCGCUCCCUGCGCUCUGCGGGUCGCACGGGAGCCCUGUGCCCGCCCGGUGUUCCCCCCGUGCCGGGUCCGACCCCGGCUCUGACCCCCGUGACCCGCCGGCAGAAGCAGGGUUUUUUGGUUUUUUGGUUUUUUGGGUUUUUUCCCUGUGGGCCUUAGGGAGCGCUGCUCCCCGGCCCGGCCCCAGCUUUGCAUAACUUGUCUCCCAGUUGGCUGUCCCUUCCUCCCUGCACUUUGCCCUUGCCCGGUGGUCUGUGGCGUGAGGGAGUAAAACUAUGCGAGGCCUGCGUUUUGUUUCUCUAGGGAAAGCGCUGGGUCGCAAACGAGGCAAGCUGUCUAAUAAUAUUUAUAUGCAUAUUCCUUUUUUCCUCUGCAGCAGCCCAGUGGCAAGCAGGAUUCUGUGACAGUACGGAACAAGGCCCUUGGGUGUGAUUUUUUUUUUUUUUUUUUAGCAAACCCUGGAGCAGAGCUGCUGUUAGCAUGUAGAGUUUGAAUGCCACAGGCGGUCUGUUGUUUCUUCCUGCUGAAAGAAUAAUUUAGAGGAGCAGCAAUGGCUCAUUAAUAGAAAGUAUUAGUUGCAGGAAGGCAAAAGCAGGUGAAGUUUCUUACUUUACCGCUGACUUACACUGUGACCUUGGUUCAGUCUUUCUGCACCAGUCAGUCCUCUCAUUGCUUAUGAAUUGGGAAUAGCGGUGCUUUCCAAAAACAUUCUGUAGAUAAACAUACUAAUGACUGUGAAAUGCUUAUCUGCUGUAGUAAUAAAGGGUAGAUAGUGAUGCUAUUUCUGUCACAGAAGCAGAAAGGUUCUAGGCAGGAUGUGAACUGUUGUAGCCACACUUGGAUGCUUAAAAGACAUUUUAUAACCUGUGAUUUGCACUGUGGUCAUCUUACGUUUCAUAUUUUGAUGUAGUGUGUGCUUUUGAAGAGUUGCUAUUUCACACUGCAAGUACUUUAAGGAUGGGUUUUUUUUUCCACUUCUGUUUGGGACAAAGCUGUGUGGUGUCCUCUUCCACUGCUAAGGAAACCCUGUGAAUUUCUAAUGUAGCGGAUUAUCCCUGAUAGUUGACAUCUCUGAACUACAUGGUGUUUUUGAAAGGAAAUACUAAAGGGAGUGACAAUAAGUUCGUAGUACCUGUAAUAAAAGCAGUGUUAGUUUAAGGAACAGUAUUUUUCUCCUCACCUUAUAGGAUGCUCUCUGUGGCAAAUCAGAAUGCUUCCUGUAUUUCAUAGGUAAAACCUAAAUACAGGAGUCCUGAAGCUGAAGGAUUUGACUGUCAUGGUUCACACACUGCCUGAAGUGCAGCCACUGCAAUAACAAAUGGAAGCAGCCAAGCACAGAGCUGGGAGUUGCUGCUGCAAAUCCUGACCUGAGUGAAAUAAGUUUUCUCUCUUUACAGUUUUGCUUAAUAUUGACUAGUGCAGCUAGAUUACUCAUCUUUUUUUUCUAAUCUUUUUUAUAUAUUGUAUAAGGAUACACCAGGAAGAAGCAAUGAUUGCUUCAUACAUUGGGGAUUUUUUGAAAGUAAUUCAAUAUAUAGUGUCUCACUUACCUACUCAAUUUAAUAUGAAACUUCCAUAAUCAGAUUAACGUUAAAUAGGAAAGCUUUUGUGUUGAAGAGGAGGUAAGCACAACCUGGUUUGGUUUGGGUUUUGUGUUUUUUCUUUUUUUUUUUUUUCAAAGAACUUGAAAGCUGCUCUGGUAGAAUGGCAAUUCAUUGUUAAUUCUUAAUAUGUAGGUGCCCUGGAAAAAUCAAAUACCUGGUUUCAUAGCUACCCUUAGGCAUCUUUAAUUUAUGCAAGCAGGGCUCACUGAGUAACUACUGUAAGUCUCAUUGACCUUAGUAGGUUUGCAGAGGUCAUGUUUUAAAAUGGGUAAGUUGUGCUUGAACUAUUUUCUCAGUAAGUAUUAGGAGUAAGUGUUUGUUUACACAAUUACAUGCUUUUUCCAGUUCUCCAUUACAUUUUAUGUUUUUCUUUAGAUUCUUGCUCAUCUUAAAAACAACUCUCAUUACAAAGAAGCACAGGUUUUUGAAAACAAGUUCCUUUUUGAGAUCUGGCUAUAGCAGAGCAGACAGUGAGGUUUUACAAGCAGCCAGAAAGGCCAGUGUUGGGUUCAGAGAAACUUGGCCAGCACAAGCCGAAUGUACACGAGUGACAUCAGCAUUUUCUGAGCCAUUUAUGCUGUUCACUUGUGCUGGUUCCCAGCAGUGCCUUGUGUCUUAUGUAAGCUCACACUGUACAUCCUGUCCUGCUGUUCUCAUGCAUGAUAAUUCACUGGCGUUAUCUUACGGGAGUGGAGAGCUGCUGCUUGUCUCAAAUGUCUCCAUGCAAGUUUCCUAUGAGCCAGGAGCAUAACCGUGUCCUAGGAGACAUCUGAGGAAUAACUUGGAGUGAGACACAGCUUGUCCCCUACUCCUUUUGGUAACAGAGCUGUAACCACUGUGAAGUCAUCUGACAGGUUUUACUGGACUGAAGCCUUGAUCUGUAUCUCAUGUAGAUGGGCCACUAAUGCAGUUUUGAUGGCUGGUGAUAAAACAGCCAUAAAACCCAAAGGACUUCAGUGUCAACAGAAGCCUCGAUAAUAUUAAGACUGGAAAAUAAAGGCUUUUAUUACACUGUCACUGCACACUUCUUGUUACAAGUUCUUUGAGAGGAAUUGUCUUCAGAUGCUGAUCCUUCAAACUUGUCCUUGAAGUUAGCAUUUAAUCAUGUGUAAUGAAAGUAUUGCCACUUGAUGGGUGAAAUUGAAACAAACCCUCCAUUAUAAGCACUAAACCCAAACAUUUAUUCUGUUUUUCUUGCUUGCUAAAUCUAGCUGAAACUUGCUGGCAUAAAAUCCUGCAGUAAAGCAAUGUGCAUAAUCUAUUUCUAAGUAAACAGAGCACCUUCUUUGAACAGUGUCUAAUGUUUCAUACUUCAGUUUCUUUUGUUAGUGCUGUAGCAGUGUGAGGGAGCCAAAUUCCUGAUUACCUGUCUUGGUGAAUGUGCUUGUCCUUGUCUGACUCCAUGGCUUGUUUGGAGCAGCUGGAAAGUUUCCUUAUGAGCACUGAUCUGGCACAGCCAUGUACAAGACUCUGAGAUUUAUAGCUCUGUAGGAGAACCACCUACAGAGGGAAGAAGGGUUGACCUGGAGAAAUGCACCUGGAAAGGAAUGCUGAUGUUCUCUGUGGAAGUAACAGAAAUCUUUUCCUGUGACUUUCCAGAGUGACUUGCCCCCUACUGCACAAAACAGUUUCUCGUUUUAGGGAAGAAACAAGAGGAAUGCAAGACUUGACAAGGGGACUGGUUAUCUAAAAAAGACAGGUGCAGUCCUUAGAUGCUGAAAAACUGAACAGAUUCCUUUAAGUAAGCUAUUCUUGCAAGUUUAAGGACAUUUAUUGGCAAAACAUCUAAGAGAAAUUUGAAAUUAUAUUUUGAGAAGGAAAUUGAGUUACCAGUAUUACUUCUAUUGACCAAAGAUAGGGAUGCAUGGACUUUUCCUAGUGGUUUUUUUAUUUAUGGAGGAUAUGCAAAUAUGUUUUAAAACCACAUACAGGAGACUAGGCAGAGAUUUGUAGCAUCUAUAAUAAGAAAUAUUGUAAAAAAACAAAACAAAAACAAAAAAAAACCUCCCCCAAAAAACCCCAAGCUUCAAAAGUACUUUCACAUGGCACAUUCAAGAUUCUGCUAAUUAUACUAUAUUGUGUGACAGAUACUUAUGUAGAUAUGAAAGUCCAUAUAUAUGUUAUGAAUUGGUAGCUUUUUUAGUAGAUGUGGGCAAAUAAAAUGUGAUCUGGAUGCUUAAAUCUGCUUACAAAAAGCCUGGCUCUUGGAAAAAAUUUCCCACCGGAUGCAGUGGGUGUCAGGUCUAAAGGUCAGCAAAAGAGAGCGUAAAGAGAAGGAUCUUUUGCAUUUAUUUUUCUCCACAUUUUUCAAACAAGCCGUGUGUAAAGAAGCAGAAAAUCUUUCUUUGUUUCUUCCUAAAUUUCUGAGUGCUAACAGGCAUUUGCAGGUUUGUUCAUACUUGAGCUAUUUGUGAACUUUUUUCUUUAAGAGAGAGGGAAAAAAAUCCCAAAACCCUCAGUGCAGUUAAUACAUCCAUGAACUCUUAGCACGGAAGUUCCUGGUGUAAAUCAUAAAAGCCAGAUGGAGUUUUAAGUGACUGUCAUGUACAACUUGGGGAAUGAGCAUUCCUGAUACUAACAAAAGGGCCAGAUUGGAACUACACAAUUAAUCCCAGUGUCCUUUUCAGUGCAUGAUAAGAUUUGGCUACAAUAGCCAUGGAGUUAAUAGAGAUAACUGUCAAGUUCUAUGAAGGAGUGGAUUGUCUGUCUAAAAUAAAAAUACCUGUGUGCUUACUCUGAUAUAUGUCUUCUGAUGAUUAGUGCUCAAAUUGCAGUUUAAAUGGGGAAAAAAAUGAGUGUGAGUAGUGGCUGCCUUUGUCUUGAAUCUAUCUUCUGUCUUAGAUAUGUAUGUAAAUAUAUUUAUACAUAUAUUUAAUAUGUAUAAUUUAUCUGCAUUCAUAAUAUAUAUAUAUAUAAAUAUUUUAAAAGCAAAAGAUAAGUAUAUAGGGUUUUUUUGAAUGUCACGUGGCAAAACAUUUUCUAAAUUUGAGUUGAUUUGAAAUGUAAUGCCUGUGGAGCACCAGGAAACAAUUUUACAAUGCAGUUUAUUCCCUCUGUGUAGCAGUGUCCUGAAGGAAAUGUGCAGAGAAGUGCUAAAAACAAAAAAAGGCUUAUGAGAUGGCACAAAGUGUGUGUCAGAUACAGACAGGAGGAGGAGUGGGCAGAUGGCAGUCAGUACAGAACACGUGAAUAAUCAGAUUGAGAACAAGCUGAAUAGUCUGUCAGUAUGCUGGUUAUCAUGCUGCUGCAUUUUGGGUUUGGUGAAUGUGCUGGGGAUUUUUUUGUUGUGAUCAGUGUUCAUACUCCAGAGAGGUAAAAAUCUUGAAGCUAGAAGUGUAUAUGAGGGUGAAGGCAUGCCUACCAAAGUCAUGGGAACUUCUGGGAUGAGGGAGAAGUUAGUGCUUUCAGAACUAUCAGGGACUGGAAAACAUUAAAAAAAAUCUGUUCAGUUUGCUAUAGACUUCAUCUGCAAAUUUAUUGAGAUCUACCUUUGGCAUGCAUGACAUGGAAUAAUAUUAAAAUGAUUCAAAAUCUUAGUGCCUGAACCUGUGGUAUGAUAGAUUAGUUUAUUUUUUCUGAAAAGGUCUGGAAGUCAGUAAGACUUAUUUGUGAUAAAUUGUUUACAUAACUUUAUGUAAUUUAUUGGAAAAUUCUGGGUGGCUGUGUGGCUGGAGUGUUCAUUGCCUGGCUCAGAGGUCUUUUCCAGAUCGUUGGUGGGAUGCCCUGUUGGAGUGUGGAAUGGAAAGAAGAGCAGGAGGGGAUGGCCGCACUGGUGAAUGAUUGAUCCUGUAACCUCUCGUGCAAUGCUAAGGAUUGUAGAAAAUAAAUAAAUCCAGAAAUAGAACAAAAAAAGCCCUCUUUCCCUUCUGAUUCUUACUUGAAAAAGGUUAUAAUAUCAAUUUGUAAUAAUAAUAAGGUAUACAUAUGAGAGUGUGUUGAGAUCCAGUUGAUCAGUAGUAAGUUGGUUCUGUUUGUGUUUGUUUCAAAAUGUUCCUGCUUUCUUCUUUCUCAGAAAGUUCCAUUGGCUAGAAGAGUAGUGAACUGGUCUAACUGGAGAAUGCCCUACUUCCCAAAAAAGAGGCAUUGUCUAAGCUGGCGGAAUGGAAGGAUCACAACACACCUUUCAGUUUAAAAUUUAUUUAGUAUAGAUAAUUUUGCAUGCCUGCAGUUAUCCUUUAGUAGUACCAGUUUGCUCCUUGUACACUGUAUUAACAUGCCUCAGUCUGAACAGUGGUAAAGAGUCUUAAUAGCACAAGAAGGUAGAGCAAAUGUAGUCUGUAUUUCUGCAGAAGUGAAGGUUAGAAAGAUAAAGGGAAAAUGAUUAAAAUACUCACAAGAAGUGCCCUAGAUAAGAUUGUUUCGUGUCUGAGGGCAUGGUGAAUCCUGUGGGAAUGAGGAAGCUAAAAGGCUGUUUAAUUCUGAUGUUUCACACUGAGUCAACAUGUUAGAUAUCAAAGUGGUAUUAGUGAAAUUUGUAAGAACAUGGGCAUUUUAUGUAAAAAAUACAGAAGUAAAGUAAGUUAGUCCAAACCAAAUCCUUUGCUGUAUCUGAGCUAUGCAGAGAAUGAACAUUGGAGGCUUAACGUGAGUAUAAUAAAUCAAACUGCCAGCUGAGCCUCAGAGGGCUUUAUUCAUGCACUUCAUUGUUCUCUCUGCAGAUACAGCAGGGUUCAGCCAAAUGCAGGGCUGCAGAUGUUCUGUGUUUCCCAGUGUUCUGAAGGCUGAGCUGGUGUCUGUGUCUUGUCCAAACUGCUCCAUUCUCCGCUCCGAGUGGCCGUGCUCUGCCUUUCAUGGGGACUUCCACAUGCAGAAAUCACAGCGUGAGUUUGCAGUUUUGGGUGAGUGGGGAGCUGUGUUGUGUACUCUUGAUAACUCCCAGGAAAGGCUCAGAUUUGUAGCUUCUGGAAAGUGCUUUUUGGCAACAGAAGAUGCCCUGCUGACCCUUUGCAUCUUGGCAGAAAAUGCUUCUCAGCGCGUGAGCUUCCAAGCACCUCUCUGAGUACUUCUUGGGGCUUCUGGCACAGAGCAGGUGUUUUAGCUUUCACCAAAUUGUCUCCUUUCCCUAUAUCCUCAGUUCAAGGCAAACAAAAUAGACAGACUUAAGAUUGAAAUGGGCAACCAAAGGGUAAAAGCAGAACAGACAGAAAAUUGUGUUCUAGUUUAACACAUGGUGACACAUCUGGUUGUUCUUACCUAGAGUUUUAAAGCAGGUCUCUGCUGUUGGGCCUGACAAGACAGUAAUAGUCUCUCAUUAGUGUUAGAUUUAAGUAUUCAAAGUUAAAAUUAAUCAGUUUUCCAUCACAUCUUCCAUUUUUUUACCUCAUCCUCACUAGGGCUCUGGCUGGAGGUGGGCAGCUUUGUGUUGAAAGAGUUGCUUUUCCAUUUUGUCCAUAUUCAUUUGCUGGCCUACUGGUUCAUGUUUGAUAUGCAUCGGUACUUUAAUGAACUUGCUUGCAACAUGCUCAUAUGAUUAGUAUAAUGUGUUUUGUUAACUCCAUGUUUUCUGAGAGUAUCUUGAGCAUUUUAUAGAGACCUCAUGUGAUACAUUUUUAGCCCUGCUGGUAAACUUUAACAAAAUCGUCUGAUUAUAUACAGAUCAUGCUUGUAAAUAAAUAUUUUUUCUCAUCUUCUCCCUAGUCUGCUUCUUCUGUAGUUUUGCUUAUCUUAAAUUAUUGUUCAGUAAACUUACCCAGUAAAACUUUAACUUAAGAACAAUCAAUAUUUCACUCACAUGUAGAAUGAUAAGUAAACACAUUUUUUCCUAUCAAAUUAGGUUAAGAUAAGAAAUACUACAGCUAACUAAUUUUUAAUAUUAGUUUGACAGGUGUGUACUUUAUCCCCGAACAACAAAGGCAGUGUUCAGGAAUGUUUUCUUGGUGGUGGUUCUGUGAGCAUAACCCUUGGUUCUCCCUGUAGGUCAAGGACAAAUUUCACACAGCCCUUUGCAGUGGGACAACUAAGCUGUCUGCUGACAGGAUCAGGUACUUUCAGGUCACUGGAACAUUGGGAAUGUUCUGGUAUCAAGGCAGCCAGUUUUUCUGCAACCUGCCUCUCAUCUGUUCUGAAUAUAUCAAGGGAGUGUUUCAAGGAAAUGCUAAGGGAGGUGAAGGUGACUUCUUGGGCUUUAUGAAGAUUGCUGUGCGUAUCUCUAGCAGAACAGAACCUGCAGUGUUCAGACUUGACUCAGCUGUGAUACAAGACAGAUUCUUUAACAAGGAAAUCUGUGUUAUUUUCUUAAACUACUCAUCUGUCUAUUUUGACUCCCUUUCUGUUUUUGAUUACUCUCACUUGAAAAAAGAAUCUGAUCCAAUGAUUUUAAUAUUAUUAAUUACAAAAUAAAUGUAGUAGUUGAUAUCCUUAGAUAUUAUGUGAUUAGGCAUGAUUGUUUGGUCUUGCAUUCUUCACUUGAUUUCAGCUUGCAUGACUGCUUUGAGUUCAGAAACCUAAUUAAAAUUUUAUGAUGAGUUUUUUGCUUUGAAUAUGGUGACUGAAUUACUUGUCUUGAUAAACACUAGUUAGAUCAGGGUCUGCUAAGCUGAUGUUUCAGUUAAGAGUCAGGUUUUGCCAAAUAUUAACUAGAAGCAGUAAAAUCUCAUCUAAGUUUAAUGAAUCUGUGCACUUAAACAUUCCUUAGUUCUAACAAACUGAUGGAAGCUCUGAUUUUGUAUGUUAAUGUGAAGUUGUAUAUUGCAAGAUCAGGGAGAAGUCUGUUGCUCUUUUACACAACACGAACUUGAGUAUGAUGCUCCUUCUUGUAGUUAACAAUACCUGACUUCUUGCUUAUAUAGAAAUUAAAAAACAAGACCUUUAUUUGCACAGCUUGAAUCACUGUAAUGUGUAAUACUACUUUUAAAUUUCUCCUGAGAGUGUCGGACAUCCCAGUGAAACCAAACCUCUGCUGCAAUUUUCAAAGACUGUUAAUAAUAUUUUUUUUUUGUUGGUGGUGGUGGUGGGGAGAAGGGGUAAGGUUUUCUUAAGUUGCCUGCUUUAAAUGAAGUGACUACGAGUUUUCUGUCAGUUUACUGAUACACUACAAAUACACUUUUUAAUAGUUUAGACAGUUUAUAAUCUGCUGGUAACUUGAAUUAUGUGGCUGUUCGCUUCAGUCAUUUAUUCCUCCUCUGUAGAAUCAAGUUAUUUUAGCUGUCUGGUUAAUCUUUGAACAUAUGGGACUUGCAGAUCAUUGGAGGCUGAAGCACUGUGGUAUACAGGCUAUUGAUAACUCUGGUGUUUCCUGUCUUUCAAGCUACUGGUUUAAAUUGUAAAAUAUAAUUAGUUUGAGGUGUUGUACUUUUAAGUAAUGUUUUAGUGAAGUUGGUGUUGGCAAGAUUAAAUAUUAGCUUUCACUUACGUACAGAGCUUGACAGAUUUUGCCAACUAUGAUUCUGUUUAUUGCAUUUAAGCAGAGCCUAAGGCAGCUGACUAUGGCUUUGUGCAAGAGUGGUGAGUUUUGGUGCUUGAGUUUAUUGUACACAAAUGACUGGAAGCCUGUGUUUGCCGCAUUUCCUUAAGUGUGCAUUUGUAGGUCCUAUUGUACAGAGUAACUUUUAGCAAUUUCCACAAAACCUAUUUGUUCUAGAAAUGCUGCUGAUUUCAAUCAUCAGCAGCAUUGAAAUCAUGAUGCUUUUUGCUCUAGCACCAGCUAUAUUUGAAUGCUUCACAUUCUGUAAGGAAGUUAAAGACUUUGCAUGAAGUUGAUUUUUUUUUUUAAAUAGCAUUAAUUGCUCAGAGGAAUUUUUUGUGAUUUUACAGCAUUUCUAUUGAGCUAAUAUGGUCUUGGCUCUUUCAACAGGUGAAGUAAAUCUUAAGGACUGUUGCAUCCUUGCACUUCAAACCUCUUCCAGGGGACAUUGUCUGGUUCAUGAACUGAGUGUGGCAGGAUUCCUAUGAAGAGCCAUAUGUUUGCUUAUUUUCUAUUUUUGUAAAUAUUUUUCAUAUGAAGGGGGCAGCUUUAAUUUUUUUUUUUGCUGAUUUGUUAUGGUUGAUGCCUAGCUCUAAUGAGCUUUAUUUCAGGCUCUUAUAUAUAAAAUAAAAUCUUUAGUGCAGAAAGUCCAGAUUUAAUGACAUUUUUGUGUGGGAGCUCUAUUCUUGGGCUUGGCUUGCAUCACUGAUGCUAAUUCUGCAGAGCUGUAUCCUUGACCUAAUGAAAUAACUGAUGCUCAUGUGUCAGCAGCACGCGUGUCAUUUCCAGUCAGUGAAGGAGGUUAGAACCACAUCCUUGGGUGGAGGUUUUCACAGAUAUUUUUUGGGAAUAUUUGUAUUCAGCAAUGUGUUAUACCAGCAAAGUCUUCAAGGAGAUUUUUGUCUGAGGUGCUUUAAGAGGCUUCUGACUACUCAGAAACGUUUUCGUUUAUUCUUGUGUUCUUUUGGUUUGCCUUGGCCUCCCCAAGGGCUGGGUGCUUUUGGGACUAACCUGCACUGUACCAAGUACUGGGAAGUGGGGCAUUGGGAACGGAAAACAGACUUGGGACUCCUUCCAGCAUUUAGGAGAAGUGAUUGCUGUGGAAUUGCUCAGCUGAUUUCCAUGGAGGUGGAGUCUGCUGACUGUGUUUGGCACAGAAGCCUGUGGGAAGAGCUCCAUGUUAAUGUGCAGUGUUAACAGAGGACGCUGAAGGAGAGUGUUCAGACUUGUGGUGGGGGUGAACUUCGAUGCAGAGAGUGAAAAGCAGCUUCAUGUUCUUCUGGUGAUUUUUUUGUUUUCCAAAUGUCAGGUUCCUCUUGCAAGGCAGGGAAGUAUUAAAGCUGCAUCUAAAUGGUUGCAAAGUUAAUACUACAUAUAAAGAAGUGUGGUUUUGCCAAAUUAAUUUUCUGUUGUUUACUCUUUCUCUGAGAUCUGAAUCUUGAUCACUUUAGUGUUCCCCACUCAAAAUGUUGUUAUCAAAUGUCCUUAGUAUUGUUGUCUUUGUAGGGAGCUGGGGAAAGGGAGGGUUCUGUUGUGGUUAAACAAUUCACCUAUCUUGGUUUAGCACUGCAGUGCCACCAAAACAGGCAGUCCUGGCCCAUGCAGUGCCCUCCUUUCAGUGCUGAGGAUUGAACUGCUCUCCAGUGAUUGGAAUCAUCUGCUGGCUAUUGCAGAAAACUCAUCUGUUUUCCUCUAUUUCUUUCCAGGAUUAUUUUGUAGCUAAUAUAGUGGUUGUCCAAGAAAAUUGCAUCAUGAAAUCCAAAAAGUCCUGCAGUGGUAGAAGAACUAGGAAUCCCUCAGCUGGAAGACAGAGAACAUGACUACCCUCUGUCACAGUGCUUUUGCCAUGUUCAAUUUAAACCAUCCUGAAAGUGUACUAGUAGCCGGGCUCUGUGGUGUGUAAUGGUCAGAAGAAGCUUCUGGGGGUCUCUGGUCCAGCCACUCAUUCAAAGCAGGGAUAGAAGUAGCACUGGGUGAGAGGUGACCAGCUGCUCUGCACCAAGGCCCUUGCAGUGAUGUAUUGUAGUCUGUUGCUGUA